rnacentral:rRNA from 1 species
GACGAACGCUGGCGGCGUGCUUAACACAUGCAAGUCGAGCGGUAAGGCCCUUUCGGGGGUACACGAGCGGCGAACGGGUGAGUAACACGUGGGUGACCUGCCUUUAGCUCUGGGAUAAGCCUGGGAAACUGGGUCUAAUACCGGAUAUGACUCCGCGGUGCAUGCUGUGGGGUGGAAAGCCUUGUGCGGCUGGAGAUGGGCCCGCGGCCUAUCAGCUUGUUGGUGGGGUGAUGGCCUACCAAGGCGACGACGGGUAGCCGGCCUGAGAGGGCGACCGGCCACACUGGGACUGAGACACGGCCCAGACUCCUACGGGAGGCAGCAGGUGGGGAAUCUUGCGCAAUGGGCGAAAGCCUGACGCAGCGACGCCGCGUGAGGGAU